rnacentral:rRNA from 1 species
UACGUAGGGCGCAAGCGUUGUCCGGAAUUAUUGGGCGUAAAGAGCUCGUAGGCGGUUUGUCGCGUCUGCUGUGAAAACCUAAGGCUCAACCUUGGGCUUGCAGUGGGUACGGGCAGACUAGAGUGCGGUAGGGGUGACUGGAAUUCCUGGUGUAGCGGUGGAAUGCGCAGAUAUCAGGAGGGAACACCCGAUGGCGAAAGGCAGGUCAC